UACAGGAGGUCCCGAGCGUUGUUCGGAUUCAUUGGGCGUAAAGGGUGCGUAGGCGGUCCACUAAGUUUGAUGUGAAAUCCCGGGGCUCAACCCUGGAAUUGCAUUGAAUACUGGAGGACUAGAGUACCGGAGAGGAAACUGGAAUUUACGGUGUAGCAGUGAAAUGCGUAGAGAUCGUAAGGAAGACCAGUGGCGAAGGCGAGUUUCUGGACGGUAACUGACGCUGAGGCACGAAGGCCAGGGGGAGCAAACGGGG
rnacentral:rRNA from 1 species